GUGGGAACCCACUUACCUGAUCAGCUUCUGGAGGAUACUGCUGGGGUCUGGAAGUCGUCCUGGGGCUCUGCUCUAUGUCAUGCUCACUUUGGGAAGCAGGCUGGUGGAGCAGCCACCAUCUUGCAGGUAAAUUCAUUUCUCUGCGCUUCAGUUUCUUCCUCCUUCCUUCCGGGGUGAAGACGGUGACACAGUAACACCCUCCACGCAGAGUGGUUGUCAGAAAUGCAUGAGCGUGAAUACCAGCUGUUCUGACCAGUCCUGCUCACCUCGUCCCCCCUUGCCCUGGGUUGGAUUAAUAGCAGCAGAUAACCCAGAUGUGGCCAAGGACACCUGAUGAGAUAUCUAUUGGGAGCUUCUGGGAAUGGUUUUCUUAAAACGAGACACAGAAGAGAAUCCACUUCCCUUAUUGGACACAGCUGCGUGUGAUGGCCGGCACCCCAGCCCCCACACUGAGGAAGCUGAACGGACACACUGAAAAUGGCCCAGCUCAAAGAGUGAAGCAGGAUAUGCCUCAAUCAACCCAUCCAUCCCCUGAAGCUGCGCUUGGAACCUCCUUGAGGAUGGUGGCUGCUAAGUGGCUCUUCAGAGCCUCCCCAGGCAUCUGGCAGAUGGAGGAAGAGCCCAGAAAGGCCUCCUGCUCUGCUUGGAGGAGGUGCUCACUGGCCACCUUCCUGCCACAUUUCAACUGUCAAUCUCAACAUUCUUAGGCCUCAUUCUCCUUCUCCAGGCCCAGUGGAGAAUGAUCCACCUCAGUGUCCCAAAUGCCAGGCCUGGGCAAGGGAGUGGGAAAU
rnacentral:lncRNA from 1 species